rnacentral:lncRNA from 1 species
UAGUUCAAGUUUUAAGUUCAAAUUCAAAUCAAAUUAGAAAUUAAAUAACUAAUUGUAUUUUCAGAAUUUACUUUCAAAUUCAAUAACUUCUAUAAUAAAUAAAAGAAAGGGUAAAAUUGUAAUUACACAUACUUACCGAUAAAGAGGUGGGGUGAGACGAAACCACCAAAUAUAUUUGCUUAUAAGAAUAAAAAUGGAUUUCGAAGAGUGUAGGGUUGCAUUAGGCUGUGAACUAUUCACCGUUUUCAUUACUUAUAUUAUAAAGACGGUGAAUCUUUCACCGCCUCUUCAGAGGAAAUCUCCACCCUCACGUUUAUGUGACGAAUAGAGGGUUAGUUUUCUAAAUAUAUUUUGGACAGGAUUAUUUCAUAAAUUAUAAAAUUUUAAAGGGUUAUUUUGUAAAAAAAGUCCACUUCUGAAAGUAUUAAUUUUUUAAGGGCCCGUUUGUUCUAGAUUCUGAAAAAGUAAUUUUUACAAGAUUGAUUUUGGCUUGAAAAAUUAAGGCUUCGUUUAGGAUUGCAUGGAGAUUGCGUUACGUGCGGUGAGAAAGUACGUUGGAAAAAUACCUGUUUGUUUCCGUACGUAAUAUUACAUUCUGCAUUUCGCAAUCAGUUGGUUACGAGUGCGGUCCCACCGGAGAACGCAGAAGCAUAUUCCUAUAUGCUUUUUCCUUAACUCCAUUUUAUCUAAUAACGUCGGAUAGACCUCAAUAUCAAACUAAGCCUAAUUUUGAUUAAAAGUUCAUUGAACAGCGAUUUUUCUAAAGUGAUUUUGUAAAAUUAUUUAGCAAAAUUUUUAAUAUUUACGUAUAAUAAUUUUUUAUUAAAUUUAAAAUUAAAUAUUUUAAUUUAAAAUUUAAAAUUUAAAUUUGAAA